rnacentral:rRNA from 1 species
ACAUGCCUACAACAUAGCGUUAAUGCACCAGAUCCCAUUAGAACUCCACAGUUAAGCGUGUUAAGGCUAGAGUAGUACUGGGAUGGGUGACUGCUUGUGAAGUCCUAGUAUUUUACAUGCC